rnacentral:lncRNA from 1 species
AGAUUCUUCUUGGUUUCUCUCUGGAACAUUCCUUCUUCCUGGGUUAGGCAGGACCCCUUCAGGAAUGAGGUGUUAUGAUCUAUCAGUAUAAACUGAGAGAGAAGACUGCCCAAGUUCUGGCCUAUAGACAGAAGACUUCUAACAGUGAAGGACAUGUUUGCUUCCCUUUCCACCAUGAUUGCAAGUUUCCUGAGGCCUCCCUAGCCAUGCUGAACUCACAGUUUUUAAAGUAUCUAGUGUAUAUAAGGACAAGCCAUUCUCAGUCAAGCAUGAAACUGAAUCUGAGCAGGAAAAGAAGAAAGCUGAAAACACACUGAGGAUUAUGGGAGAGGGGCAAGUGCAUGAAGCUUCUCAAUGACAUACAGACACUCUAAAAGCUCAAGAGAUCAAUUAUUCAACUUCAAGAACUGAAAUUUGAACACAGAUUUUGAGCUUCCAAAUCAGGAGAAAAAGAAGUGUUCUAUAAGAAGUUUGGACAAGACUCUGCAAGAAGUUAAGAGGUCCUUAAAGGCAACUGUGAAUUAACGGAGACUAGUUUUGAGAAAAUCAGUCCUGAUUUGUUUCUCCUGGAGUUUUCUUCUUUAUGUGAUCCUUCAUAAAAGCUGCUAAUAUGGGAAAGAUUGAAAUCAGCAAGUUUCUGGCUGUAAGCUAAAAGAGGCUCUUGAAUCAUAUUUCCGCCUGCUUAGCAAAUUUCUCUUGCGACAAUUGGAUGUUAUUUGGGGUUCCAUACUAGCAGGAAGAAGUACAAGCAAAGCUAAGUCAUUUUGAGAAUAAAUAUUAUCUCUCUAUAUAUUUGUAAAUGUUAUUUUCUUUUUUUUUGAGGUUUAUGAUUGAUCCUUGGCAUGUGUCCCCUUGUGUAUUGCUCUACUAAAAAUAGCCUAAAAAAGAA